rnacentral:rRNA from 1 species
GUCUACGGCCAUAUCACCCUGAACACGCCCGAUCUCGUCUGAUCUCGGAAGCUAAGCAGGGUCGGGCCUGGUUAGUACGUGGAUGGGAAGAAACAGUAUUGGGACG